ACCACAGCAGGAAGUGGAAGACUACAAAUGGAAGCGUAGGGACGAGGGCUUGCAGGAAGGGGCGGAGCUAACGGAGGGAAAGGUCCCCGCCCUUCGCUGCGCUUCCCCCGGAAAGGCGUCAUCGGCUCUAUAAGGCAGUGUGCGGCGGCAAACUCGGCCUUUUGCGUCCGGGAAGUGCGCAGGUUGUGGUCCUUGACCUGUUUGUGUCUUGUCUGCUAAAAUGAUUUCGUCAGAACAUAAGGACGUGAUUAAACUGCAGAAAGCUCAAAAUUCUUGCUUUAGUGGUAGGAGGCGGUCAGUCUUAAAAGUCUUUAGUUUUGAGGACCCGAACAGAUUUCGACAUGCAUUAGAUUGCAUAACGGCCACGUGCAGCCUAGGAUCCUGAGCGGGCGAGCGGGCGCCCAUGAAUGCUCCCGGAGACGCCGGCGAGGCGUGAGCUCCAAGGCCGCCCGCAUGUGAGCGUUUUGAGCCCAUAUUUGGCGCCAGAGCACUCAGAACCGCCACCAUUUGAGCACGUGAUAAUCAAGAAAUCUAAAGCGGUAAAUGGCGAAGUGUCAUCCGUGUUUCAGUGGAUCACCAAACUUUAAACUCUUAGAACUGGGCGUUUUGAACAGUCUGGAAACUACUGAAGUAGUAUUUUGAACAUGAUGUCUGAAUUGUUUAAAUUAAUAUUUAAGGUACUUCCUUGAUGUAAUUGAAUAAAAUGCUUGAUUUGUGUA